GUGAGUGUGGGUCCGGCAUGUGAUGCUGCCCCCGCCCUCUUACUGUUGCCGGCCCCACAGCGCAGCACUGCAGGAGAGGAGACAGAGAGACAGCCCUCACUGCUGGGAGCUGAGCUCUCUGGCUGUCAGGGGGCGGAGCCAAGCUCAGGCAGACGUUACAGACAGAAGGCCCACACUCUGGAGGAGCAGAGCGCCACCUUUCUCUGGAUCUGAUGCACCGCCCCCCUGCAAUGUCUCUAGGGAGAGACAUGAUGACAUAGGGGUUUGAGGAGGAGGCAUUCCAGCUCACAGUGCAGCAGCCGCCAAGUGAGUCCGGAGUCAGACCUCCGGUGACCUUUUCCCCACCUGCCGUCAGUCACAGAGCUUGGGGUGGAACAGGAAGCUGAGGCUACAUUGGGUGCAGGCUCAUCAAAACUGGACAGUUCAACAUUGGAAAACUAUGCCUGGUAUGAUGAAUCUUGAUGUCUACUGCAACAUGCAAAGGAUACGAUCAGAAUCUGGCAUGAAUCCAUUCUGGCUUAUGUCAUGGAGUAAUGAUGUGGGGAAUAUGUUCAUGCCACAAAUUCAUCCCUUCAAUGCCAUUUGAGGGUCAUUUAAACUCCACAACAUACAUGAGUAUUGUUGAUUACCAUGUGCAUUCCUUUAUGGCCACAACAUAGCCAUCUACAUGCUCCCAGCAGGAUAGUACACAAAGCACGCAUCAUCUGAAGCUGGUUCCAUGAGCAAGACAACGAGGUCAGUGUUCUACAAUGGCCUCCAUCAUCAUCAGAUCCCAAUCCAAUAGAUCACCAUUGGAAUUUUAUGUAACAGGAGAUUCAUAGCAUGCAUGUGUAUUUGUUUCCAGCACCUUGUUGAAUCCAAGCCACAAUGAAUUCAGGCUGUUCUGAGGGGGCAGCUUUAAUUCUUAUUUUCGAAUUCUGCAUCAUGGAUUAUAUGGAUCAGGAUUUCAUUGUGUAUACAUUUAGUCUACCGCUUGCAGACAACGCAUGUUGCAUGAUCUGCUGAUCUGUCAUAUACAUUAGUAUAAAGUCUGUCUUGCGCAAAACAUAAUUGGGGGGAAAUUAAAUUAAAAUAUGAUAAGAAGGCUUGUGCACCCCUAACUGAGCAAAAAAGAUUCUGUAUCUACUAAUAACCAAUCAUGUUUGUGUUCAUUUUGUAAACUGUGCUAGAAAAUAUCAAGUAGAAUCUAACUGGUUAUUAUGCCAAUGUUGAAUUAUUUCUUUUAUCUAAACAACAAUUGCACAAUACAGUAUAAAAAAACCCUAAUA